GAUGAACAACGCAGCGAAAUGCGAUACGUAAUGUGAAUUGCAAAUUCAGUGAAUCAUCGAGUCUUUGAACGCACAUUGCGCCCCCUGGUAUUCCGGGGGGCAUGCCUGUCCGAGCGUCAUUGCUGCCCUCAAGCACGGCUUGUGUGUUGGGCCCCGUCCUCCGAUCCCGGGGGACGGGCCCGAAAGGCAGCGGCGGCACCGCGUCCGGUCCUCGAGCGUAUGGGGCUUUGUCACCCGCUCUGUAGGCCCGGCCGGCGCUUGCCGAUCAACCCAAAUUUUUAUCCAGGUUGACCUCGGAUCAGGUAGGGAUACCCGCUGAACUUAAGCAUAUCAAUAAGCGGAGGA
rnacentral:misc_RNA from 1 species